rnacentral:rRNA from 1 species
GUAGGUGGCAAGCGUUGUCCGGAAUUAUUGGGCGUAAAGCGCGCGCAGGCGGUUCUUUAAGUCUGAUGUGAAAGCCCACGGCUCAACCGUGGAGGGUCAUUGGAAACUGGAGAACUUGAGUACAGAAGAGGAAAGCGGAAUUCCACGUGUAGCGGUGAAAUGCGUAGAGAUGUGGAGGAACACCAGUGGCGAAGGCGGCUUUCUGGUCUGUAACUGACGCUGAGGCGCGAAAGCGUGGGGAGCAAACAGGGAUUAGAUACCCUGGUAGUCCACGCCGUAAACGAUGAGUGCUAAGUGUUAGGGGGUUUCCGCCCCCUUAGUGCUGCAGCUAACGCAUUAAGCACUCCGCCUGGGGAUACGCCGCAAGGCUG